UUAAAGAUAAAAUCAUGAUUUUCAUACACAUGUAAAAUGAACACAUGUCAAAGAUCUUAUUUCACUUAAUAAUAAAUGAAGCAAAAAUGUGUCACAACUUGUUCAGAGGAGAAGUCAAAGGCAUGCUGAAAUGAAUUUGCAAAAACCGGUCUAUCCAUAGGGCAACGUCAGUUGUAUUUCAUUGGACACAGGUAAUUUGCCUUUCUGUGGGUGCAAAUUAUUUGCAUCUGUUUUCUCCAGGUUAACUUCUACCUCCACAGAGGUACGGAAUAAUCUAGGCAAAAAUAACAAAGGCACACAUCCUGUAGAAUCGUGUUUAUCAGAGGCUCCAGCAUUCUGUUAAAAGAAUACCUAAGAAUCAUUUUUGCCCGUUCUAAAGUCUGGAAUUUUUCCUUCCAAAAGGAUGACUCCUAGUAUCUGAGUAGGUGCUCAGACAGGGCAGAUGGGCAGGGUGGGGAAUGAGGGUUGGGGGAGAAGAUACACCAAGAUUGCGAUGGAAGAGUGAGGAUACGUUUGUGGACUUGGUACCUUUGAGGGGCCUGUUGCAUGUCAAAACGAGGUCCACGAAGUGAUGCUGGAGAGAUGGCUUUUGAGCAGGAGCUUUAAGACUAAGCAGGAUAAGGACGUAAAAAGGUAUGAGAAGACGCAAGAAAUUGGACUCAGAAAAUCUUCUGCUGAAAAUAUCUAACUAUCUGAAGACCUGUUCUGCCAGUUUUUCCCAGAGUACAGAGCACUUCAUUCCUGAUCUCCACCCUGACCUCCUUUCAGGUCUUGGAACGUGAGACUGCACUGCUGUGAAGAACUCCUGGAGUGUGAGAGACGCCACAUGAAGGAGAACCCAGGCCUCCCAGCCAAAAGCCAGCACCAGCUUCCAGGUACCUGACUGAGACCAUCUCGGACUUCCCAGCCCCACAAGAGCUGUCAGGUGACUGCCAUCACGUAAGUGGUUCCAGGAAAGACCAGCGGAAGAACCACCCAGAUUGCCAGUCCACCGGAUCAAGAGAAACAAGAAAUCAUUGUUUUUACCACUAAGUUUUGGGGUGGAUUUUUACAAAGCAACAGAUAAGACAGCAGAUGGAGAUCUUUCAGGGAAUUGUGAAAUCGAUUUUCUGGGGGAGGAAAACAGUAUAAAAAGUAUAUAAGACGGCAGAAUAGAAUAUAUGAGUUCAUUUCAUACAGAAUCGUUGCAAUUAUCUAUUGCUGUGUAAUAAGGCACUCCAAAAGUUCAUGGUGAAAAAGCCACCACCAUUUUAUGCUGAAACUUCAUAUGCUGGACCAGGAGUUUGGCAAGUGCAGGGGAUGUGGUUCAUCUUUGUUUUCAAUGGAGCCUCGGCUGUGAUAGAUCAAAUUUGGGGCUGUGGCUGGAUGAACUGAUUAGGGCCGUACGUCUGGGGCCUUGACUCUGUCUGCUGGGUGCGUUCCUCGUUUCUUCUCCCCAUCAUGUCUUCAGGAACAGGAACGUCCAACUUGGCUUCUUCACUUCCAAUAGGCUGGCAGGAGCCGCGAGGAUCUCGCUCUGCACAGCUCUCCAUGGGGCCAGCUUGGGCUUCCUUACAGCAUGGUGGGCCUGGGUAGCUGGACUUCUUACUCGGUGGCUGGUUUCUGCAAGGCUUCUGCUGACCUCGCUUCAGAAGUCCGUGAACAUCACACCUGCUACAUUCUGUUGGUCAACGAGGUAAGUCGCUGAGGCCAGCCCAGGCUUAAGGAGGUCGGGAGGGGGGGAUUAAGACCCCACCUCUCAAUGAGAAGAGCAGCAAAGAAUCUGCAGCCUAGCGGGUAUUUUGUCACUGUAUUUCUAAGAUGUCAUUGCUUGUAAGACACAUCCUGACUUCACGGGUAAAAAGAUGUGAAAAAACGGUCAUAAUAAAAUUGAUGAAAUGUAGUGUAUACAUGCAGAGCUGUGGUGUAAAAUGUUUUCCACUGUGGCUUGCUUAGAAGUUCAGAACUAGGCUAAAUUACAUUCCAAAGUGAGAGCCAAGAAGCAAUUUCCAGACAUCUAGUCCAGACUAAGACAGUUUGUCACAUGGAGGAUGUCCCUAAAAUAACUAUUAAAAUUUUUGUUAUGCUAAAAAAAUUCACACGAAUGCAAAAACAGAUUAAUAUAAUAAACCUUCAUGAAACCGUUACCCAUCUUUUUUUCUUUUUUAACAUCUUUAUUGGAGUGUAAUUGCUUUAAAAUGUUGUGUUAGUUUCUGCUGUAUAUCAAAGU